GAAGCGGCGGCCGGGCAGCCAUGUCGCCUUUGUCUGCGGCGCGGGCGGCCCUGCGGGUCUACGCGGCGGGCGCGGCGGUGAUCCUGGCGCAGCUGCUGCGCCGCUGCCGCGGGGGCUUCGCGGAGCCAGUUUUCCCGCCACAACCCGGGCGCGUUGCCAUAGUGACCGGAGGGACGGAGGGCAUCGGCUUUGCCACCGCGAAACAUCUGGCGAGACUGGGCAUGCACGUGAUCAUAGCCGGAAACAAUGACAGCAAAGCCCGGGAAGCUGUGAGGAAGAUCCGAGAGGAGACCCUGAAUGACAAAGUGGAGUUUUUAUAUUGCGACCUGGCAUCCAUGACGUCUAUCCGGCAGUUUGUCCAGAAGUUCAAGAUGAAGAAAAUCCCUCUCCACGUCCUGGUCAAUAACGCCGGCGUGAUGAUGGUGCCGCAGAGGGAGACAGAGGACGGCUUCGAGGAGCACUUUGGAGUGAACUACCUGGGCCACUUCCUGCUGACCCACCUCCUCCUGGACGACCUGCAGGCGUCGGGCUCCCCCGGCCGCAGCGCCAGGGUGGUGACCGUGUCCUCGGCCACACACUACGUUGGGGAGCUGGACUUGGACGACCUCCAGAGCAGCGGCGGCUACUCCCCGCACGGCGCCUACGCCCGCAGCAAGCUGGCCCUGGUCCUCUUCUCCCACCAGCUGCAGGCGCUGCUGGCGGCCAAGGGCAGCCCGGUGACCGCCAACGUGGCCGACCCCGGCGUGGUCAACACCGACCUGUACAGACACGUCUUCUGGGGCACGCGGCUCCUCAAGAAGCUCUUCGGCUGGUGGUUUUUCAAGAUGGACAGGAUGCUGUGAACUCCUUGUCAUGGAUCCAGGAGAUGUUGGCAUCAAAGGACAGAAGACCCAGGAUAGUUUCCCUGAGGCGUUUGUUAGAGGUGCCCACCCCCUCCCUCGCAUCCUGAUGUGGCUGGAAGAGCUGAGACCCCAGUCCAUGGGACUGGCAGCCAAGCAGCCUGAGAGGAACAAGCUGGGGCCCUUCUGAAGACGUCCGCUUGGAUAAGAAGCACCGUGACACCUUUCCUGGAAGAGCCAUGCAGGCACAAGAAGGGUCUUGGGUCCACAGCCAGCACAAGGGAGAAGAGCAGCCAGAGGUUAUGGAGAAAUGAUAGUGGAAGUUCAGAGAUUCCUCCAUCCCAGCUGUGGGAGCGGUGACAAUCCCAGUGUGAUCCCACAAGACGAUGCAUGGGUCCUGGCAGCCACGGGCUCAGAUCUCUGUGUGAAGACAAAGCACAAGGUCCCGGUGGAAGACCCCAUGUAUUUGGACAGCUCGCUGUGUCUCUCAGUGUCUUGGGGUGGCUGCUAACAAAUGACCACAAACUAGGGGCUUAAAUCAAAGCCAUCCAUCCUCCCCCAUCCUGGAGACCAGACGUCGGAGGUCAAGGGGUCCCAGGGCCACGUUCCCUCCAGAGGUUCCACAGGAAGGUCCUUCCUGCCUCUUCCAGCUUCUGGGGGCUCCAGGGGGCCCUGGGAUGGUGGCCGCCUCCCUCCCGUCUCUGCCUCCAUCUUCAUGUGCGUGGCUUCUCUGUGUCUGUGUCUCCUCUUCUGUCUCUUAGGGGGACACUGUCCUUGGAUGAAGGGCCACCCUCAUCCAGGAGGACCUCCUCCCAGACCCCCCAUUUCCGUCUGGAUAAUCAAGAAUGAUCUCUUCAUCUCAAGGUCAUCCAGUAAAUAUAUCUGCCAAGACCCUCUUUGCCAGUAAAGCCAUAUCCACAGGAAACAGGAACUAGGAGGUGGUCGUAUCUUCUUGGUGUUUUCAAUCUAUCUACGUGCUCCAUGAACUAGAUGCCUUGGAAACUCAAGAGAUGUCCGUUUCUUCUCUGGUGACCAUGGAGGUCACAGCUUUUCUAUAUGCACCCAAGGCCAGCCUCCUGGGUGAGUGACCUGUGCAGCUACCCAGGACCCUGCGCUCACUGGGAUGCCUAGUGGCUUAAUGGUCCAUGGCUGCCAUCUUGGAAUUCUUAAAUGAGGUGUUAACCAGGACCCAUGUUUUCAUUCUGUGCUGGAGCUGCCGGUGCUGUAACCUCCGCUCACAUCCCUUCCAACCUCAAGAAAGAGGAGCCCAUCUGCAGCCAAUAAGGACCCCCCCCCCGCAACACUCACCAUGCACCCCCACUGAGCCAUCAGUGUGCCCAAGCCUGUCAUGGAUGGUGGACCCUUGGUCCCGUUAGCCUAGUGGGCUUUGGCAACACACUGGAGGAUCCCUAAAAACAAGUGACGGUCAGCCCCACUGUCAACAGAAUUCCCAAGUGCCUUCUUCUGGGCAUUAGCAUUUCGUAGACCUCUUCAAGCCACCCUCUUGUUCAGGCAUGCUUGAGAAGCCCCGAGCCAGGCACAUGCAGAUUGCAGCUUCCAGCUCCGGCUCCUCGUCCUCGCAGAACUUCUCAGAUGUUCUGCUGAGCCUACAGCUCUGACUGAUAUAUUUUGGAAGAGGAGUUCCUUCCAGCGUUAAAAUCAAGAUGGGCAUGUGCCUUGUCUACUAUUUCUGAAGAGCCAGGACUCUGUACGAAGAUGCAGAGCCUUAACUUCUAGGAAGACCCCACUUUUGAGCGUUCACACGUCAUCCGAGACCUUUAUGGCUUGACGACAUUAUCCACAAGUGCCAGCUACUGUUAUCAUCAUCAGAAAGGCACUUCCUAAGUAGGGACUCGGGAUGGGGUGGCAGGGUGACUUCUGACAUCCUCCAUCACAGAAAGAACAAGCUUGCCAUCUCCUGAGAGAUGUCACAAUCCCCAGGUGAAGAUGGGCUCUCAGGGCAAUUUGGAGCUUGUAGGACCAGACUCAGGUUGCCCUUCCUAAUUGCAUGAUGCCCUUAUGUCGUUUGUCCACCAUGGGAGAGAGAGAACAUGGUUCUGGAGAAGUUAUCAUGUUCCCUUUGACACCUGACCAGAGGAUUCCUGAGACCUUGGAGACACUUUUCCAGCAGCUGGAGAGAUCCCGUGGAGCACUAGGCUGGAUGCUUGGUGUGUUUCCAAGUUUUCGGCUCUUGGGACAAACGCCACUGGGGAAAUACGCAUCCGAGGUGCUGUUUAAACAGCACCGGUGUUGUGUUCCUUGGGGUCAGUGCCGAAGAGUGCCGUGGCCGAGUCACCGGAACUGAAAACUCCCAAGGAAAUUGUGUGCCCGUGUCACUGCAAAACGUGUGCUUCAUGGAGCAAAGCUUCUGCAGAUCUGAAUGAGGAAUGCACGGAGCAUCCCUGGACCCCUGGAUCCGUUUCUUUGAGCUUAAUUGCAAAAACCUUAAGAAGCACAUCAGGCGAAAGAGGGAACUUUAAAGCUGCCCGUGGAGGAAGCCCUUCUUGCACCAGAUCUUCAUGAAGAAGGAUUUUUCAGUUUGUUCCGGCAGGAAUGUUGGGUCAAGUCGCCUAAUCUUCCAUGUAACCAGGAGUAGUAGCUCAUCGUCAAAGACGUAAGCAUGACAGAUUAAGAAGUUGGGAAGAAAAGACAGAUAUUAAGGAUUUAAGUUAUGUAACAGAAGGAAAAUCUAAUAGCUGUCUAAGCAGAACUAUAGUCAUAAAAUAUAAAGGACAUUUUAACUGUGUAUUAGCACUCUAGGAGAACAUGAAUUCCAAAUCGUAUAAAUAUAAUCACCCAUAUGUGGGGCCAUAAUAUCAUAAAGUUGAAAUUUGAUAGCAAAAUAACCACAAACGUGUAUCACCGUCCAACCAGAACUUUAAAUCUCUCCUUUAAGUGGUUUUCGGCCAUCAUCCAAAAGUCUGCAAACAAGAAAUGAUGGAGAGGCUGUGGAGAACAGGGGACGUUCUUAUACUGUCGGUGGGAAGGUCAAUUGGUGCAGCCAUUAUGGAAAACAGGAGGGAGAUUCCUCAGAAAACUAAAAAUAGAAUGACCAUUUGAUCCAGCAAUCCCACUUCUGGGCAUCGGUCUGGAGAGAACCAUGACUUGAAAAGACUCAUGUACUCCAUUGUUCGUUGCCGUACUCUAUAUCACAGCCAAGACGUGGAAACCACCUCAAUGUCCAUCGACAGAGGCGUGGAUAAAGAUGUGGUCCAUAGACACAAAGGAAUAUGACUCAGCCCUGAAAAGGAAAGAAGGAAUGGCAUUUGCAGCCACGUGGGUGGACUUGGACAUGAUGAGGCUGCGUGAAGCUAGUCAGACAGUGAGACACCCACAUGAUAUGCUAUCCCUUCCAUGUGGCAUCUGAAAAAAGGACACAAGGAACUGCUUUGCAGACCAGAUAGAGACUCUCAGACUUUGGAAAACUGAUGGUUUGUGGGGGGAUGGGCUG